ensembl:lncRNA
CGGCUGUGCUCACUGCGUUUCAGCGGCUAACAAGCAGAGCUAACUGCCUACAGCCACCGCUGCGACCAAAAACCUCCACAAAUUAACUCAAAAGCGCGGCCACCCACACGCAGACACACACGGGUGUUUAUUUACGGCCGACUUGCAUCUUAAACCCCUCGCUAAUGGCUAACCCAGCACAGGUGUGUUCUAUAUGCUGCCGAUAACACGGCACCCGGCGCCGUCUACAUCCCUGCUUACUUCAAAUUACAGCUUACGGUUAUUUUACUUAUACAUUUCUAAAAUAAUAUAAAACCUGAAGGACUUUAGUGUUUAACCAACUAUAUCACCAACAUUAACUUUAUUCUUACCGUAAACUUCAGUCUCCACGUUCUGGAACUUCUCCCCUCAACGGUCCUGAGACAAGCGGUUUGAACUAGUUUGCUACCCAGAAUGCACCACACGGGGCGCAGUCGGAGCAGCGUAAAUAUAACGAACAAAUUAUUUACUUUUUUCAGUGUACAAUGCCAAGUUGUCCUCGCUUGCAACAUUAUAGAUUAAUAUUACACAAGUGCAUAGGCACAAAAUUAGUGUAAUUCUUUUCUUUGAAAAAUCCGGUUGUUGGGGAAGGACAAUAGUUGUUUUUACCUGGAACAACAUUCUUCUAUUUCUUCUAUUUUGAUGACUGAGGAAUUAAGCAUUCAUGAGGAAGAAAGGGAUAAAUGUGUCCAGAUGGAAAUGUGACACAGUGCCUCAUCCACACCAACCAGACAGCACCUCUUGUGGGGUUUUUGCCAUCAAGUUCAUAGAGCAAAUCUUGGAACGGUGAAGAGCUACAAUUCCCUGUUGGCCGAAAAGAUGUGGCAGAGUUACGUCGGCAGAUUGCCACAACUCUUCUUCGGGAAUCUGAUGAUCUGACAGACCUCUGCUUCAACUGUGGAGAGGAAAAUGCAGAUGACAGUGGAGAGGCAGAGCUGACAUGGAUAUCCUGUGAUGCCUGUGGACGGUGGUUUCACCAUGCAUGUGUUGGAAGGCCAAAGACAGAGGACAAAUUUUUAUGUGCAGCAUGCUAAAGGAAAGGAAAGGAAGUUCAUGUAUAUAUAUAAAAUAAGACAUUUUCUAUUGACAGUUUAUUUUUCAUUUUUUUUAAUUAUUUUGAUGUUUUUGUUGAUGCGUUAAAUAUUGCAAAUGUUGCCAUUUAAUUUUGUGUUGAUUGCAUUUGAAUAAUAACAGUUUGUUCUAAAAAGUUAAUAUACACUAUUUAUUUUUUGUUUAAUGUUAUUAAAGUCUUUAAUGCUUGUCUGAGC